UACGAAGGGGACUAGCGUUGUUCGGAUUUACUGGGCGUAAAGGGCGCGUAGGCGGCCACCGCAAGUCGACUGUGAAAUCUCCGGGCUUAACCCGGAAAGGUCAGCCGAUACUGCGGGGCUAGAGUGCAGAAGGGGCAACUGGAAUUCUCGGUGUAGCGGUGAAAUGCGUAGAUAUCGAGAGGAACACCUGCGGCGAAGGCGGGUUGCUGGGCUGACACUGACGCUGAAGCGCGAAAGCUAGGGGAGCGAACGGG
rnacentral:rRNA from 1 species